AAUAUAUAAUUGCACUGAUUGUAAUUGCGUUCCUUGAAUUUUUUGUGUGUACCUAAGUGCGUGACAAUUUUGGACGACCUAAAGGUGUUUUGAAAAUGGCAUCCCUGCAAUUGUACGAACAGAGGAACUACUUGUAUGUCCUCCACAUCCAUGCCAAAAUGUCACUUGUAAGCCGCCUCCCAAAUGUGAUUGCCCCAAUUACGAGAUAGGACCUGGAGGUUUUUGUGGAUGUUGUAAACAGUGCAUUCAUAUUUUGCAACAAAACGAAAGCUGCUGGAUGACACAAAUAAGGGGUGCAAGGCCACCAUCCGAAAAAUGUGCUGCAGGACUGAUAUGUAAGGAUGGAAUAUGUCAAAAGUUGUCGUAAUUUUUGCUGAAAUUUCAAUAUAUAAAACACGUUUAUUUACAGACAUUGUAUUUUAUUCUAUUAAUAUAAAAACUAUCUCAUUAAAA